rnacentral:lncRNA from 1 species
AUAUAAAAAACAAGUCAAUAAUUAAGAAAAUCUAAAAAAAACUAAACAUUUAAAAUCUAAACAACUAAUUAACGAUUAAAUUAAAUUAAUCAAAUAAAAAUAUAAAAGUAAAAUAAAUAGUAAUAAGUUAUAAAAAAUUUAAAUGAAAUAGUAAGCAUAAAAAAUAAAAAUAUGAAGAUAUGCUAUUCCCAAGUAUCAAACUCAUCCCAUUAAAGAAAGUGAAAUUG